UACACUCCUGCGGGAGGCAGCAGUGGGGAAUAUUGCACAAUGGGCGCAAGCCUGAUGCAGCCAUGCCGCGUGUAUGAAGAAGGCCUUCGGGUUGUAAAGUACUUUCAGCGGGGAGGAAGGCGAUAAGGUUAAUAACCUUGUCGAUUGAUGUUACCCGCAGAAGAAGCACCGGCUAACUCCGUGCCAGCAGCCGCGGUAAUACGGAGGGUGCAAGCGUUAAUCGGAAUUACUGGGCGUAAAGCGCACGCAGGCGGUCUGUCAAGUCGGAUGUGAAAUCCCCGGGCUCAACCUGGGAACUGCAUUCGAAACUGGCAGGCUAGAGUCUUGUAGAGGGGGGUAGAAUUCCAGGUGUAGCGGUGAAAUGCGUAGAGAUCUGGAGGAAUACCGGUGGCGAAGGCGGCCCCCUGGACAAAGACUGACGCUCAGGUGCGAAAGCGUGGGGAGCAAACAGGAUUAGAAACCCUGGUAGUCCCAUG
rnacentral:rRNA from 1 species